CUAACACAUGCAAGUCGAGCGGUAACAGGAUCUGUAGCAAUACAGAUUGCUGACGAGCGGCGGACGGGUGAGGAACACGUAGGAACUUGCCUGGGAGAGGGGGAUAACCAAGGGAAACUUUGGCUAAUACCGCGUAAACUCGAGAGAGCAAAGCUGCCCCGCACUUGUUGCGGGGUGGCGCUUCCAGAGAGGCCUGCGUCCGAUUAGCUAGUUGGUGGGGUAAGAGCUCACCAAGGCGAUGAUCGGUAACUGGUCUGAGAGGACGACCAGUCACACUGGGACUGAGACACGGCCCAGACUCCUACGGGAGGCAGCAGUGGGGAAUCUUGGACAAUGGGGGCAACCCUGAUCCAGCGAUGCCGCGUGAGUGAAGAAGGCCUUCGGGUCGUAAAGCUCUUUAGGUUGGGAAGAAGUGUGUAUGAGGAUAAUUCAUGCACAUUGACGGUACCGACAGAAUAAGCACCGGCAAACUCUGUGCCAGCAGCCGCGGUAAUACAGAGGGUGCAAGCGUUGAUCGGAGUUACUGGGCGUAAAGGGCGCGUAGGCGGAUGAGUGUGUGUGAUGUGAAAGCCCCGGGCUUAACCUGGGAAGCGCAUCGCAAACUACUGAUCUGGAGUAUGGGAGAGGGUGAUGGAAUUUCCGGUGUAGCGGUGAAAUGCGUAGAGAUCGGAAGGAACGUCAAUGGCGAAGGCAGUCACCUGGCCCAAUACUGACGCUGAGGGGCGAAAGCGUGGGGAGCGAACAGGAUUAGAUACCCUGGUAGUCCACGCUGUAAACGAUGAGGACUAGAUGUUGAUUGGGGAACCAAGCAGUAUCGAAGCUAACGCGAUAAGUCUUCCGCCUGGGAAGUACGGCCGCAAGGUUGAA
rnacentral:rRNA from 1 species